GAAAGGAACGGCUCGGCGUGGUGUGACCCCGGGCUGAUCCCGCCUCUCGAACACCUUUAGGCGGUUUGCUUAAAGUGUGAAGAUGGAAGGCUGGUGCCUGGAUGCUGGAAGCUCUUCUGUUGAUGCCACCAAAGAGCAAGGAUAUGAGAGGCUUAGAACUGCUCAGAGACACUGGAGGGACUGAUGCCUGCUUUGCUUUACUUUGGAUUGGGCAUCUUGAUACAAAUCAGAUCAGUGCUAGGGAGAAAAGGAAAAGAGAAUGGCACCAAAAACACUCUGAGUGAAGAUCAGCCUGCCCAGUUAGUCUUCUUUUUGGAAGCUGAGCUAGGAAGCCUGGAGAAGACUAGAGAUAAUUAUGUGCUUGCUUCUCUUUCUUGUUGGGAGUGCCUCCCUGACAAUAACUUCAAUGACUGUUGAUUGCAAAGCAAG